rnacentral:lncRNA from 1 species
UCCAAAGCAACGUUUCACUCAUCCUUCCUCCCAGAUUCUUUUCUCUGCUGCAGUCAAUUCCCCCUUUUUCCAUUUGUAGAGACAAAAGGGAACAUUCUAUAACCACUGGCCUCUGUCCAGGAACACAGGAGAAAAUGAAGCAAGGCAAACAACAGAGAAAAGUGAACAACAAAAGAACAAACUCAAACGAAACUGCUUAACAAUCCUACAGUGCAGACCUGGCAGGCUGUACAGGAGGCUGGGGAGGCUUCAGGAAACUUACAAUCAUGGCAGAAGGCAAAGGGGAAGCUGGCACGUCUUAUAUGGCUGGAGCAGGAGGAAGAGAGCAAACAAGGACAUGCUACACACUUUUAAACAACCAGAUCUCUUGAGAACUCACUCAUGAACAUGAGAACAGUCCCAAGGGAGAAAUCUGCCCCAAUAAUCCAAUCACCUCCCACUAGUCCCCUUCUCUCACAAUAGGGAUUACAAUUCAACAUGAGAUUUGGGUGGGGACACAAAUCCAAACCAUAUCACCCGCUAUGAUUGUGGGAGGAUCAAUCAAAUCAGCCAGCA